AGUGGUCCGGAUCACCUGAUGUUAUGGUCUGUGAUUAUUCAGCUCUAGACACAGAGAUCCAGAGAGGAUCUCGAUUUAGUUGGAUGCAAUCUUGAACUUUGAUUAUAAAUGCUACCCAUCACAUACAAAAUUGGUAAGACAAAACUAAAGCCCCUAAUUUCUAUGACUCACAACACAUCUCCACUAUUGGAGUACUCCUAAAGAAAGUGGAUGUACUUACUAAUCUACUUCCUCAACAGACUUACUAUGGAAUAGGACAACUCAUUAUUUAUUGAAAUAUAAAUAAAUAACCCUAAACAAAUCUUAACAUCGUCGGCACUGCCACCCGCCCCUCGCUGCCGCUUGUCAGGUUCCAAAUCCGACGAAACCGACGAUUGGAACUGCCGCCACCCCUGCCCUAAGACCAAUUUUACAGGUUCAGUGGAGUUUUUAUUUCAGCAUCUCCGGAGAAGCAGCAGCAGCAUCAACCACGGCAAGUUAAAUGGCGCCGCCGCCUGUAGCCGGCACGGAAACAAAAACACCCACUAACGAGGAACUAGAUGGCGAAAAUCGGGAUCAUGAGCUGAUGGCUGCGAAAAUCGCCAUCCACAAACUUUCUUGGACUGAGAGAUUUUCUUGCAAAUUUCGAUUGCUCCAAAGAAGUAAGAUUGUGUUUUGGUGAUGCUGCAUCUGCUGAGGUUUUUGUUCGUCCAGAAAAUUUCGGGACCUUGUUGCCUCCAUUCCCUCGUGUCAAGAAUUGUUUAUUGUUCGACACCCCUCGUUCUCGACAAAUAGAGGCCACAACUGUUGACUUUUAUCCCUCUUUAUGUUCGAUGGCACCUUCUGCAAAGACUAUUAGAAGCGUAAAGUUUGUGGAGUCAUCGUCCUCCGCGAAUAGAGGCCAUAGUUUCUGACUCGAGUCCCGCUUUCCGUUUGAUCAAGGUGAAUAGUUUGACGAGGAGCUUGGUGCUUAACGUGCAAUACUUCGAAACAAGAGGUGAUCGCGUAGUUUUCAUUACUCGUCAGAACAUGAAUUUUGAAAUCCUCCUGCAGUAGAUAAUUUGUUUCGUGGUAGUUUAUGCGUUGUUCGUACCUUUUCAAUUCAUCUAUGGUAAGUCUUUCUUUGAACUUAAUGUUGGCAUGGUAAUCAGUUUCGUGUUUACUAGUACA